GAUGAACGCUGGCGGCGUGCCUAAUACAUGCAAGUCGAGCGAACAGACGAGGAGCUUGCUCCUCUGACGUUAGCGGCGGACGGGUGAGUAACACGUGGAUAACCUACCUAUAAGACUGGGAUAACUUCGGGAAACCGGAGCUAAUACCGGAUAAUAUAUUGAACCGCAUGGUUCAAUAGUGAAAGACGGUUUUGCUGUCACUUAUAGAUGGAUCCGCGCCGCAUUAGCUAGUUGGUAAGGUAACGGCUUACCAAGGCAACGAUGCGUAGCCGACCUGAGAGGGUGAUCGGCCACACUGGAACUGAGACACGGUCCAGACUCCUACGGGAGGCAGCAGUAGGGAAUCUUCCGCAAUGGGCGAAAGCCUGACGGAGCACCGCCGCGUGAGUGAUGAAGGUCUUCGGAUCGUAAAACUCUGUUAUUAGGGAAGAACAAAUGUGUAAGUAACUAUGCACGUCUUGACGGUACCUAAUCAGAAAGCCACGGCUAACUACGU
rnacentral:rRNA from 1 species